UCGAGGUUGGCGCUGAUGUUAUGAUCCCUUUAUUAAAUAUACUUGAUUUCCUAAACGUUGUCAUUGGCUUUGUUGAUGCUGUUGAUGUUGUCUAAGAAAUGUUUUUAAGAAAUUAAUCCCACUACCAAAUACAUCACGAAGAUGGCAAAAUAUAAAAUGACCACACAUUAAAGAUUUGCACACAUUGUGUCCUGAUGAUUAUACUAAAGAAAGAUUGGAUUAAUGGUAGACUCACCUCUUUUAGUACUGUUGGAAACUUUAAGAGCAAACAAUGAGAUUCACUUUCAAGAUUUUCUUUGGUUGUUUCGCUUUCACAGGUAACUACUAGUUUCAUCAAAUAACCCUGGUACUUAUUUAAUGCGCUAUUUUGCACUUGGAUUAUCAAAAAUAAAAGAAAAACAAAUA